GUAGGGAAUCUUCCACAAUGGACGCAAGUCUGAUGGAGCAACGCCGCGUGAGUGAAGAAGGUCUUCGGAUCGUAAAACUCUGUUGUUAGAGAAGAACACGAGUGAGAGUAACUGUUCAUUCGAUGACGGUAUCUAACCAGCAAGUCACGGCUAACUACGCGCCAG
rnacentral:rRNA from 1 species